UGUUAUAACUUCUGCCUGACAGUAGAGGGUGGAAGAGAGCAUAACUGGGGUGGGAGGGAUCUCUGAUUAUAUUGGUUGCAUUUUCCUGAGGCAGCAAGAAGUAUAGAUGAAGUCAAUAGAUGGAUGCUCCACACUUUCUUGGGUGAGUGCAGCUUCAACAGCACUCAAGAAGCUUCUCACUAUCUGGGACAAAGUAACACUUGAUUGGCACCAUGUUCACAAACAUUCUCUUCUUAACCUUCUCUUCCCCAAGGAAAACUGUCCAAGCAUUUAUGGUGCAGUCGUGGUAGGCCACAUGGCCAUCUUCUGUACAUUCUUUAAUGCCAUCAUGUCCUGAAGUGUGAUGUUCAGAAGAGGCCCAAUCCUCCAGAAAACAUUGUACCAACCAUGAUUUGAGGAAUGGAAUAAUCACACGUAAUUUUGCCGAAAAGAAAGACAACUUGAAUUUAUAUAGCAUCGGAUGAUCCUGCUGAAUGUUCUUCAAUUAAACAGAAUUUAAGAAUUGCUGCUGUUAUGAUGACAAGUGCAGGCAAUCGUGCUAUGAAGGCAAUUGCACACUUAUUUGACUGUCUAAUUGAGACAGGUUUAAUGAUCAGGCUACUAAGUGUCCACUAAAUUCUUCUUUGAUCAGUGCUAAAGGAUGUCCAAACAUCUCUUGAGAAGUAAAAUGCUGUCAGUUAACAUCUGAUCCAAAAUGAUAUAACAGUUCCUUAGUAUUUCUUUGAACUGGCAGCUGAGAUUGUGUGAUAAACACAUGUUGAAAAUGUUCUUAGAAGGGUAUGGACUGAGACACAAACAUUGCACUGACUUCAGCUUUCAAUACUAAUCACUAACAAUUUCAAUUUUAUAUUUACUUUGCAAAGCCAAUUUUAAAUGAUAAUACUUCAAUAACCUUAGUCUGCCUUCAGGAACAGAAACAAUUUCCCAAACCCAUUAAUAAUCUAUUCUGUCUGGUUACGUAAACAUAACCAUUCAAAUAUUUGUCUUGCAACUUCCCAUGUUCCAUCUUUCCUAAACUUGAUCAAAGAAAGCUCUGUUGUCCAUAUUUUAACACACAUCAAGUCCCAUUCACCCAUCACCUGUGAACUGACCGACCAUGACUGGCUCCCAACACACUAGCAACUUAAAUUUAAACUUAACAUUCUCAUAUUUCUGUUUAAAACUUUUUCAUAACUUUGUCCUUCUACCUCUUCUACUACCUUGAUCACCUUAUUCUGAGGGUUCCCCAACUCCUUUACCUUUUUGUUGACAGUGUGAUUUCAACUAACCAAGUCCUUUGUUCUGGACUACCCCACAUAAAUCUCAUUAUGUCAGCUUAUUUCUUUUCUCCAUUUCCCUUAAAUUGCAUCUCUUUGACCAAACCUUUGUUUAACAAUCUUAUUAUUUCCUUGGGAUGGCUCACACUUUUCUGUGAAAUAUCUAAUGAUCUUUCAGAUAUUAAAGAUGUCAUACAAAGAUGAAGCUUUGUGCUGAUAUUAUUUUAUUUCAUCAUAACACCUCAGUAUAAGUAAAUGUUACAUAUUAAGUAACAUCACAUGAAGCAUUUUGGAGAUGCCUCGAUGCAGGUUUCUCCUGGGUUAGUUAGUGCUCCAUAUUCCACCUUCAAACGUUAGAAGUCACAAAAGAUGUACAUGAAAUAAAAUUAUUAU